UCGACACACGGAAUUUUAGUCUCUUGUUUCCUCAUUGUCUCAAACGUGUCAUCCUGAUCUGCGAGGCUGGUUAGCCAUGGUUGUGUUGUGAUAACUUCUCUGUUGCUGUGGUAACCUGUUGAAAUGCCAUCUAACUAUGAUAGGACAUUUCCCCCCCCCCCAUGAUGGGGGCUAGCCUACAUGCUGUCUGGAGUCAGGCCAGCUGCCAAGUCCCUGUUUCACUAUUCAUCUAGCCAGGGAGUGUGAAUGUUUUAUGUAUCCUGUAUUGAGAGAUGCUCAUGACUGGAAAACUUACUGUGAGAUUUACACGACAUCAAGCAGUCAGACUCGUCUGCGAGUUGCCCUACCCCCACCCCCACUAAACUGUUAUGGAAGUGACUCAUUGCUUUCAUACCUGAGAGAUACAGAGAAAGCGUCAGAAGCUUCAGUGAUCUCUCAUGGGGAAAUCUCACCUAUACCCAUGCCUAAAAAUGUUUGCCUCAUCCUGACACCCAACCCCAACCCCAACUUGAGUUCCCUCUCCAGGAAAGCUUCCUCUCUUGGUGCUCCUGUUUCCUGCAUGCAGCCACCUGCUUGAAGUCUCCACAUGGUUGCUGUACCUGAUCUUAAAACACCAUCUCUGUUAACAGAACUCUGGAUGUCCCCUCAAAUCAUUGACCACAUAGGCCAGAAUCUAGACGCCUCCUGUAUCUCUUUUCUCCUGUUUCUGCCCCAUUCCCUUUGGUCCAUCCACUAGCCAGUUCUUUUGCUAAUGCUUUUCUUUUGUUUAUUUAAUUGUGACAAAAUCUCAUGUAUCCCAGUGUGCCCUCAAACUUCCUAUUGUGGCUGAUGGAUUCCCCCAUCACACACACACCUUCCAGGUACUGAGAUUACAGAUGUAUGCCAACACAUGUAGCAAUUCUGGUGAUUCUGCUUCCAGAAUCUAUUUUCUGGUUCAUUCUCUAUAUAGAAGACUUCUUAAAACUGAAGUUGGACCAGAACACUCACCUUGCCAAAACUCAUCGUUGGAUUCCUGGUGCAGUUAGAAUAAUGCUUGCAUUCUGUGUAGAGACCUGCAAGGUCCUUGAACAACUCUGGGACCCUGUCCUGUGCUUCCUUGCGCUUACUCUCCUCCUCAGUGGCUCUCCCUUGUUCUCGGCUACACUAUCCCACCUCUCUCUCACCCCCUUUACUAUACUGGGAAUAGAUUCCAGGGCCUCAUGCCUGCUAGGCAAACAGCCUUAGCCCUGAACUAUAUUCUAGUGGGAGAGUUCUAAUGGCUUUCAUUUGUUUGAAGUACAUUUGCUUGCUUGUGGGCUUCUCUGCAGUGAGCAUCAUCCUCCCCCUUGGAAUAUAUCCUUCCUGUGUCUGUCCGAGCCACUCCCCGGGAGUUUCUUUGCUGCCCACUGUGAUAGACCAGGUGUAGAUUCCUUGUGUAUUACUCAGAGCGCUCCACAUUGUGGAAUGACCUGCUUGUCCAUUUCCCCACGGCCUGGCUCCCUGCCUGGCCCGUGAGUUCACGAGAUCAACACUGUACGCAUCUCCUUCAUCACGCCAAGGGCAGCGCCGUGAAUUUUGAGCCCAUAAAUUGAAACAAGCAGGUGCUGGUGACAUUUGGGAAGAAGUGCUAAGACUGAGGGAACACACAAGACAGCCUUGCUGUCCUAAUUCCAGACAUGGCUGCAGCCCCACAGGGGUGACAGUGGGCAAGUUUGUCACUUAAAAUUUCUUAUGCUUAUUCUGUUUUUUUUUUUUGUCUCAGCUGUUUAAAGAUAAACAUGGACUCGAUUGUCAUGAAAAAAAAUUAGCACCAAGUUUUCUGUUAAAAUUAGAUGUUAUCUGAAGAGACUUAACAUCCUGCCUUAUACAGAGAAGUCCAAAAUUAAAUGCAAAUGUCCUGUAAUACUCUUAUAUUUUACCAUCCUGACUGUUUCUCGUGGUAGACUGCCUCUCAUUCUUGGAGGGAGAAAGGAAAGCCUGUGUUCCUAAUAUCAUAAAGAUACUCAUUUGAUUAUUCAUCAUUAUGCAUAUUCAUUUGGCUCAUAAUAGCCCAAAGUAGAAAUAACCCAAUUAUAUAUCAACUGAUGAGUGCAUGAAUAAUAUGUGUGUAGAGUCGAAUCCACACAACAGAGCAUCAUUCAGCAAUAAAAAAAAUGAUGUGUCAAUACAUAUCGCAACAUCCAUGGGGGAGAAGCCGGCCAUGUAGGAGGCCAAGCUAUGCUGCAGAGUCGGAAGUAGACAGAAAGUAGACCACUCGUAGCCUUGGGCUGCGGAGUUUGGAGGGAAUUUGGAGUGACUGCUAAUGGAUGUGGCAUUUCUAUUUGGGGUAAUGAAAAUGCUCUAAAAUGGAUGGUGGUGAUAGAUGUUCAACUUUUUGCAUAUAGUAAAAAGUACAGAAUUAUAUUUUCAAUGGGUGAAUUCUAAUGGUAUGUGAAUUAUAUUUCAAUAAAGCUGUUCAAAUUAAUUAAUUUAUUGAAUUAAUGUGAGAGCAGCCUGGCUCUCUGAUGACAGCAUGACUGAGCAGGGAGUGAGUGGGGCUUUGUGUCAAAUGCCAGCUUUGAUUAGAUAUGGAUAAUUGAUCACCCCUUCCUCCUUCCCUCUCUCCCUCCUUCCAGCUCACAUUUAAAUCUUUUGGAACCUUGACCCAGAGAUGAGUGUGUGUGUGUGUGUGUGUGUGUGUGUGUGUGUGUGUGUGGUGAUUAUCUUCCAAGAGCUGAGCUGAGGUGUGGCCAGCAGAGUGGUAAAGAGGUGUGUAAGGGAUAGAAAUAGGAUGCGGUCAGUGGACAUUCUGGAGGUUCAGCAAGAGGAUAUUGUGGGUUUAGGGACAUCUUCAGUCACAGCAAAUAUGCUAAAAGAGUUCUUUAUGUGACUUUAGCAGACACCCACUCUGUGGAUGAAUGAGGUGCAGAGACAAAAGGGCCUCUUUAGUGCUGAGGGCGGGGCACACAACAAUGAUGUACAGGGGUCAGAAGCCUGGGAUAGGGGUGGGGUCUUUUCCAGGACAGCGUCCUAAGAAGUUAAUAUUGGGUAAAGCAAGCAAGCAACCACCCACCCACCGAAACAAACAAACAAACAAACAAACAAACAAACAAACAAGCAAACAAACAAACAGAACAAGCCUGCAGACUAGCUAGUUGGCUUGGUGAGGUAGCUCAAAUGUUUUUGUUUAGUGGACAGCUCAGUUUGAGGCUGGCUGGGCAGUUUUCUUCAUUCCUGACUUGCCUGAUCAGGGUAGAAUAGAAUGGAACCCUCUCCUAGACCAGGGGAUCUAGCUGAGGACGCCUGUUUUGUGGCAAAUGAUUGUCUCUCUCAGGCUAGGGGGUUGCGGUCUCUUUUAGCCAGUCGGCUGCAUGGUCCUAGCGGUAGAGCUACGGCAGCCUCUGUGCGAGACAUUCACCGCUAGAGGGAGCACUGUGACGUUCUACAUCACCCGCACUGGGCUCUCUGGGCUGCGAAGCCAAGCGGACUGGCCAGAAGCCAGGGCUUUGGCAGUGGGGGAGGGGAUGUUCCUAAGAAAUUCAUUUUCUUCACCUUUGCUCUUUCCGUUUAUAAUUUCUCAGAAGAAACGGGACCCUAAAAUCCUAGUUUCCGGCAGGGUUCUCAGAGCACUUCCCUGCCCCACACCCCCAUUUUGUGGGCCUUGAGUUUGGCCUGCCUGCUGAGGCCCGUAUAACCCUGGAGUGGUUAAUAGGAAGUGGUGAAAACAGAGAAAGUGAGGCCAGACUGGUAGAUGUCCUGCGAGUGUGAGAGAACUGGAAAGAGCUUGGAGAACAGGCUGACAAAACAAAGGGGGAGGGGCGUGAAGCUAGAGGGUUGCAGUAGCUUUUAGCAGGCUGCAGGGUCCUGACUGUACAGCUAGGACAGACUCUGUGGUGGGUGCGGCUUUGGCCUUAUAAUACUGGGUAAGGGUUACAUGGGAGAUCUACUGCAUGGCCUUGGUGUUUUGGCGUGAUACCUCCCCACUCCACUCCAUUCAGUUGAGCCAGCCUCUCAUGGUAGCUGACCUCUAGAAGCAUGACUAAGACUGGAAGUGGUAGGUGUUCAGGGCAAAAGCUUCAUUUUUGGCUCCCACUAUGUUCUUGAACCACAUCCUACCUCUCAUAUGACCCAAGCCGUACUCCAACAGCAGGAGACUCAAACCUCAUCUUCUUCCUGCACUGGCUCUUGAGUCUGGGAGGCAGAUUCUCUUAGCAGCCACUGAGCAUAGGCAGCAGCUGUAUAAGGGGUAGGUGCUGGACAUGUGCCCACUCAUAGCUUUCCACAGAAGCUUCAGGAAGAUGGUACCCCAGCCGCAGCAGAGCAGGUCAGCAUGGGCCUGGUGAGGCUCCUGUCACUGCUGUUGUGAGUGUUGGUGAUUGCCAUGGUUACCUGGAGGCUGGGAGCUCUGACAGUUGGAGACAGAGCAGGGGAAGAUGGCCUGGAAACCUUACCAGGCUAGGAGAUCCUGGACUAGAGAAGAUGUUUUGCAAGCGUUCUGAUGAGCCACAAGUCAGGGGUCCUUUUUCAUUCUGCUAGGUCCUAGGAGAACUGAGAAGAGGGAAGGAUUGGGGCUGGGGCUGGCCCUCAGGGAGUUCGUAGUGAGAGAAGGAUGGUGGUCACAGAGCUCCCUAUAGAUUAAUACAGAUCCUGGGGUUGGGGAUUUGACUCAGUGGUAGAGCGCUUGCCUAGCAACCGCAAGGCCCUGGGUUCGGUCCCCAGCUCCAAAAAAAAAAUACAGAUCCCUGGGGACCUAGAGGAGGGCUCCUCUUCCUUGUUUACCAUGCUAGCAUGGGGACUAUGAUUGCCCUCUCCCUAAGUAGGAUGCUGUCCAGUCAAGCAAAAUAACAAGCCCUGCCAGGGCUUACGAGCUUCAGUUCUCUUCUAGGUCUUGGUUUUCCAGUCUGCAAAAUGGGGUUAAUGAUUAGUAAAUCCUUACCUACUUUAUGUCAAUGAGGAGGACUAAUUAAAUGCAUAAUUUUGUGUGUUGGAAUGAGCAGACAGAUUUCAGGUCUUUAGAGGAAAAGCCUUAUUUAUUCACGGCACCAAUGCAUGGAGCAGAAAUUCCAUCUAGCGCGUUUGCUGCCUCUCCACUGCUGGGUGAACCAAGAGCUCCAUUGCUUCUGUGAGAACAUGGGGCUCUGCACAGCUGUCCAACCCCAGCUCAGAGCUCUUGGAGCCUGAGAGGGAGGGGCAUCGUGUGGGCAACGAGCAGUCAUUUUGAGAUCAGUGGAGAAUGAUGGAGUCAGAAGCUGAGGCUCUGGUACAACAGCAGAAGACUGAAGGAUGGAGCAUCCCUUUCACCCCGAGAACAGUGUAUAGAGGUGAGAGUGUGCCUAGGCUUGGGCCACUGGUGUCUGCAUUCUUGUGCUCCUCCUGUCAGCCUGAGAUAAUCUGGAUAAGUCAGAAUCACAGAAAGAAAAAACUCAAGCAAUGGACCCCACGCAAGCUCAACCCAGUGCGGCCAACCCCAGAAACCCUGCAAAGUCAUAAAUGCAAAGAAAGUCUUUUGCUGUAAGGCUCCAAGACUUGGGGGAGUACCUGACAGACAACAUUCUCAUAGAAGAACUAACUGAUGGGUAGGCUAUGGUUUUGCAUGGACUGCAUUGCCUGGACCUCUGUGUUGAGAGUGUCAGGCAGAGAUCAUUGCUUUGUUUUGUACCAUCCAGAUUUAGGAAAGGGUUUCCCCCCUUUUCCAUGUAUUACUCCUUCCAUGACCUUUUCCUGAAGUACUCAUUGUUCAGACCCACGGGAUAAUCCACCCCAUUUAUAAGGUUCCACUCCCUCCCACUGAGCCACUUUUGGCCUCUCAGUCCUCCUGUCUGCGGCUGACAACCCCUUUGCCUAUGCUGGGAAGACGUCAGGUGUAUGGCAACACUGAGCAAGUGGAAUUCAGAGAGAUGAGGGUUCUUUGACGGUGCAACAAGGCGCAGAUACUUAGUUGGUUGAACCUCCUUGGAGAGCAGAGAAGGGAGCGGCUGCAUGCUCACUGUGAUGGUAGGUGACGGUAGGUGACAGUAGGUGACAGUAGGUGUUGGUAGGUGAGGCACCCCAUGCGCAAACUGGGGUUCUUUGUGAUGAGAUGGUCACUCCUCCCUUUGCCCUACCUAUCACAGACAGGUGGGCGUGGCCUUCCGAAUGCCCCUGCCUCCCUCUCUGAAAUGAAAUCUCUAAAAGCUGAACAGGGUGGAGAACUGUAAGCAGAGAUUCAGAUUCAGGCUGCAACAGAACAGAAGGAGUCAAAGCCCGGGAGGAAAGCCUGAAUGGGCUUGGAGAGGACAAAAUAAAACAGCAGACACAUUUAUACAGGUCUCUCCUACCUCUCAGAACAAAACAAUUAUGAGAUAAGAGAGGCAUGGAUGGAGGAAAUUCUUUCAUUUUUCACAUUGCGGGCUGGAGAGAUCCAAUAGGCUGUUUAUGAAGAACAAUAAAGAAGAUACAUGUGUUCAGUAAAGAGGUUGUUACAAAUAUAUCGGGUGGUUUUGAAAAGCCAGGGUUUUCUCCCCGCUUUUGGAUGAAGCUGUCAGCCGAGUAUUAAAAGAUUUUCUUUUUCUUUCUCUGUCUUUUUUUUCCUUCCUCUUGCUUUUUUUUCUUCCCCCAGAGCAAUAAAUGAUACCAGUGGUUUGUUACAAUUGGCAGAAAGAGUUAUCAUUUUUCUUUAGGAUUUGGAAAUGCAAUCAAAGACGGGCAGAUUGGAGCCCGAAUUAAAUGAAGCUUAAACAAACACAAAGGAAAAAAAAUCUCCGCUGUUUUUUUUUUUUUUCUUAAACAAACAAACACUGGAGUUGCGGCUCCGAGUUGCUAAUUUGAAGCUGCAAAGAAUCUGACACUCGCACUUGACAAAAUGGUGCCAAAGCCAGGAGAUGGACACCUCUUGGUUAAGGACUGAAUGUUCUGAUCAUUUUAUGAAAGUAAAAACCCAUUGUUUUAGGAAACUCUGUAGUGAAACCUGUCUGGCAGUCUAAUGGGAAAUCACAGAGGACUUUCCUUCUGUUGACUCGAGAACAGGUUAAUUCUUUCUGGGGUAAAUUAAAUAAAUGAAAGCUCAGGGGUAUGGGGA